AGCUUAUCAGGCCCGGUCCAAAGCCUUCUAGCAGAAGGGAUUGAUUCCUGUCAGGGGUUGCUGCCAAGACAUCGGAAGGAUUUUUGACCAAGGUUUUCAAAAGCUCAGUGUCACAUCUGCCAUUUGAUUAAGGGGGAUUUUGGAUGCAGAGUCUGGCAUUUUUUUGUCUUUUGUGUGACUAUUUCGUUUGUCUUUUGUCUCUUCUAGAAUUGAGCAGUGUUCACACUAGUUUUUAAAUAGUUGAGUGAAUUAUAUUUUACAUAACCAUGUUAAUUGAAAUUAAUAUAUUCCCAUUAACUUUUAAUCAUAAAAUAGUGUGGACACAGCAUGUCUUCUAAUUGGUGAUUAACCCCUUAUAAUUCAUAAAAUACAUGUAGGAAAAGAAUUUGUAUUUUGUUUUUAUAAAUUAACAGAUUUUUGUUUUGACUGUUAGGGAACAAGUAUUGUUUUAGCACAAUAUAUCUAAGGGGUUAAUCUACUUAGAACAUUGAAAUGGGUACAAAAAUCCACACUCUAAAUUUAACAAAAAUUUCCUACUUUUAGCUCCUAUUUGUUUUUAACUUGGAAUAGGUGUUCUGUCAUCAUUGAAUUUGCAUCAUAGAUUACAAUUUAAAAAGUUAGGCUUUUGUAUAAAAAUUUCCUGCAUUGGCAGAAUUUAUAAAAUUUUGAGAUACAGUAUACAGAGUAAUUCUGGCUUUAGCAAUGCUGUAAAUAAGAGCAGUAGUCAGAGAUUCUUUCCCAUAUUCUGCAUGUUUUAGAAAGUGGAAGUGGUGGGGUGGACGUUUUUUUCAGGUUAGUUAGCUAUCCUUUCUCUGUCCCUUUUCCUUAUUUCAUUUUUAGAUGUCUUUUCAUAUCUCAUCUUCUCAGAAUGACAACUUAUCUUUUAAGAUUUCUAAAUUCUUGAGCUGGAGAGAUGGCUUCUUAAGAGUACUUGCUUCUCUUGCAGAGGACCUCAGUUCAAUUCCCAGCGCCCAUGGUCAGGCAGCCCACAACCAACUAUACUCCUGCCCCAGGGGAUCUUAAACCUUCUGGACUCUAGGCACCCACAAAGAUGAAUAAAUAAAAAUGAAUUUUAGUAAAAAUUCUAAUGUUUCUAAAUGUUUAAAAGACAAACUUUCCAGUGCUUUACCCAGACACAACGUGCUCCCAUUGUUUCUUAUAGCUCUUCUUUGUCCCUCAGAGUCACUUGAAAUCAUAAAUUAUUGUAUCCUAAAUGUGUCAGCUCUCUAGCUACUGCUUAUACUCAACAGAUUGCUUUUUAUAAUUUUCUUGAAUUUAAAAAGUACACUAUGGCCGGGCGUGGCGGCACACGCCUUUAAUCCCAGCACGCGGGAGACAGAGGCAGGCGGAUUUCUGAGUUCGAGGCCAGCCUGGUCUACAGAGUGAGUUCCAGAAAAAUCAAAACAAACAAACAAAAAAAGUACACUAUAAGCCAGGCAUGACCCUCACACUCUCAGUCCCAGCUUUCAGAUGCUGAGGGAGAACAGCAAGCUUUUGAGUUCAAAGCAACCUGAGCUACAGGUACCAAAAGACAGGAGCAAAAUACACUGUAAAGUUGAUGGCAACUGUGAAUUAGGUUGUUGAAGUAUUUGCUCUUUAGUUAUAUGAUAGUUUGACUAUCAAACUUAUAUUUUAUAUAUACAUGUAGCUGGACUUUAGAUGUUCACUUUUGUGAAUGACUUAUUAAUGUAAACUUAAUUUCUUAUCGUGAUUUCCUAUUUUCUCAAGCUUUCUGUAACACAUUUUAACCAACUUAAAAGACCCUACAUAUUUACCAUCAAAGUGUUGUGCCUAUGGCUUCUUUUCUGUACUUAAUGUAUCUAACUGUGCUAGUUCCUGUAGCCUUUUUCUGCUUUACUCAUUGUUUCUCUCUGCUUCCUGUUUAGAAUACUUUUAAUGACAACUUUUCAUUUUAGAAGGUAUUUUGUACUCCCUUGCAACGUGCUAAAGUUCUCCUAUUGAACAUCAGGAACUGAAUUCCCAGAAGUAAACCUCAUUUUGGUCCUUUGUUCUCUUUUUUUUUCCCCCUUGUAAUUGUUGUACUGAUCAUUCCAUAUUUAUUUAAGUUCUUUCUUAUAUUAGCCCUAGAAUAAUCUAGAAUACUUUACCAACUUGGUAGUUUAUUGUACAUUCCCAUUUAAGGUGGAUUUUUGUGUUCCCUUUUGUCUUUGUCUUCUUUGUGCUGGUGCGCUGUGUCCAAUAAUCUUUCCUUUAGAUUUCAUUUUGGUGAGUAAGGCUUCUAUUUCCAGAAAAUUAUUGUAUCACUGAAGAGUUUAUCUUAAUUCUCCUUUUGUUGUUCAUAUUAUAUUAUGUAAAUUUGUUAAAAGUCACUCCCCGGAUGAAUUUAACUGAAAAGUUCUCAAAUGGCUCACGUGACACUGAUGCUGCUUUAAGGAAGUGUCUUGCUCACCUGGUCAAACACCCAUUCCUCACUGCAUUUUGCCAAUUCAAUCCAUUUUAGAUGUAACCUCGGGUAUGGUGAAAGACCCACCGGACGUCUUGGACAGGCAAAAAUGCCUUGACGCUCUGGCUGCUCUACGCCACGCUAAGUGGUUCCAGGUUCGGAACAUCAUUUUACUUUUUUCUUGUAGCCUUAUGAGAGAGUAGUUCAGUACAACAUGUUUAACUAUGCUUAAACAUUUCAAACAAUUGCCUAAACAACACUAUUUUAAAUUAAAUCUCAGAAAAUAAGUUACCAUAGAAAGCUGAGUGUAACGAUCUGCAUUUUGCGGUUACUAUUAAUUUGACAAUAAACAGGUUUGGGGGGUGUUUGUAGUCUGGGUUUUUUAUUUUUAGUGGCUAUAUUUAAAGUUGACUUGCUUAGGAACAUCACAUGUUUUUGUAUAUAUAUUAUAUUCCAUAAGGCUGCAGAUUAACUUUGCUUUAAAUAAUGGAAUAUGUGUUUAAAGCUUUGUGUAGAGUUAUAAGACUUUUCCUCUUCUUUCUCCUAAGUUACUAAGUGUAGGGAAUGAAAGGUGAGGAAGCAGCUGCUUGGUUUAGUGACUUUGCAGACAUGCAAAGGCACGGAGAGGAAACCAAACAGAUUUCCUUAACCUUUCAGUCCCUAGACAAACUUUAGCUCUUUACUUUUCCAUUUUAUUUCUAAUGUAGGCAGAUUUUUUUCAGUUUACUGUUUUGUAUGAACAUAGGUCAAGGUUCACAGGGGAUCAAGAAAUAUUAUUCUUGUAUAAUCUGUUUACUUUGACCUAAAUACUAGCUUUUAAAUACUAACUCUGGCAUAAAAUAUUGCUGUAAAUGGCAGCUCAUUGAAACCAAUUUAAACGUAAUUAUUUUUAUUUUUAAUCUGAGCUUCCAUUGAACAGUGGUAUUUUAACUUUUUUUCACCAAGGGAUAUUUUUUAUAUUUCUAAGAUUAAUUCAGUUGGUUUUUGUGUUGCCCUCAAGGCUAGAGCUAAUGGCCUACAGUCGUGUGUGAUUAUCAUACGUAUUCUCCGAGACCUUUGUCAACGAGUUCCAACGUGGUCUGAUUUUCCUAGCUGGGUAAGUAGCCGGUGACAGCACAGUGUGAAACUGAGUAUUUAGAAAGUUCUUCUCUGGUAUUCUUUGUUCUCUGAUUUCAUUUGUCCUAUGUUUUCAUUUACAUGUUGUAUUUUUCUGUUUGACAAAUCCAGGAGAUUUGAAAAUACUUAUACUUUCUUAGGAUUUACUAAUUUAAAAAUUAUGCUUGUGCUGGUAAAAUACCUUAGUGAGCAAAAGCAUUUGCUACCAAGCCUGAGUUCCAUUCCUAUGGUAGAAGGAGAGAACUAACUUCUAAAACUUGUCCUUCGACCUUCACGUGCACUCCAUGCACACAUGCACGGGGGAGAAGGGCAGCAAACCACCCUCGUUUUUUUUAAAACAAAACAAUUAUCCUGGGCUGUGUAACAAGUCAGCUGUGCUAGCUUAGGCCCAAGUCCCCAGAACUUACC
rnacentral:lncRNA from 1 species